AUUGAACGCUGGCGGCAUGCCUUACACAUGCGAGUCGAACGGCAGCACGGGUGCUUGCACCUGGUGGCGAGUGGCGAACGGGUGAGUAAUACAUCGGAACAUGUCCUGUAGUGGGGGAUAGCCCGGCGAAAGCCGGAUUAAUACCGCAUACGAUCUACGGAUGAAAGCGGGGGACCUUCGGGCCUCGCGCUAUAGGGUUGGCCGAUGGCUGAUUAGCUAGUUGGUGGGGUAAAGGCCUACCAAGGCGACGAUCAGUAGCUGGUCUGAGAGGAUGACCAGCCACACUGGGACUGAGACACGGCCCAGACUCCUACGGGAGGCAGCAGUGGGGAAUUUUGGACAAUGGGCGAAAGCCUGAUCCAGCAAUGCCGCGUGUGUGAAGAAGGCCUUCGGGUUGUAAAGCACUUUUGUCCGGAAAGAAAUCCUUGGCCCUAAUACGGUCGGGGGAUGACGGUACCGGAAGAAUAAGCACCGGCUAACUACGUG
rnacentral:rRNA from 1 species